ACACUAUUUCUCUCGAUCUGAGACUAACCCUACCUCAUCGGCCGCCAUCUCUAUCGCGCGCUCUCUCUGUCUCUCUGUCUCUCUCUCUCAACUCGUCUCUAUCGCGACUCACUCACGAAACCCUACACUAUUUCUCUCCCGAUCUGAGACUAACCCUACCUCAUCGGCCGCCAUCUCUAUCGCUCGCUCUCUCUGUCUCUCUGUCUCUCUCUCAACUCGUCUCUAUCGCGCUCUCUCUCUCUCUCUCUCUUAGUCACAUCUUUAAGUCUCUUAGAGACGCGAGACUCAUUCUCUUUCUCCAAACCUAACCAAACAUCAAUCCAAUAUCAUUGGUUUUUGGAGCGAAUCCUUGUAAAUUUUGGAGGGCUCUGGUUCAUUCUAAGUUGUUGUGCUUAGUCUCUGUGGGUUUGGAUUAAUAGGCAAAAUUGAAGAUUGUUGCGUUGCAGCUUUCUGUGGUCCGAAUUGCCCCGAAUUGUGUCUUUGCACUGAGGUAUCGUAUUAAUAUAAUUGAUUUCGAUGUGAUAAAAUUUAUGAAUAAAUUAGCAAUGUGGUUUUCAUCAAUUUGAAAGAUGAAAUUCAGGCUUAGCUUUGCCCUUCUGCACUCUAUUACUACAUUUUCCUAGACGUAGACAUACAUGGAAUUUAGUUUUGUUUAUGUUUGGAUGCUUUCUUUAUUGUUUUCAGAUUUAAUUUCUGAUUUUU